rnacentral:lncRNA from 1 species
UGCCUCAAAAAUUACACAUAGUGCCCUAUAAGGGAAUUACAUGUUGUACAAAAUCCUAAUUAACCAUACCUUAUUUAACAUUCAUAAUCGUCCAUCCAUUGGGGACGGGUCCUCAGCCGGGUCGGGUACCCUUCAGUCCUGUCUUCCUCAUCGAUAAUCUCUUCCUCAGAUGCUUCAUCAUCGACACCCUCUUCCUCAAGUGCUUCCUGCUCUCGACCAGUAGAUAGGUCUUCAGUUGUUGGCAUUAGUUCUACUGUCCUUGAUACAUCCUUAGCAAUUGACUCCGUAGUUCCUUCAAUUGUAACA